rnacentral:lncRNA from 1 species
AGGUGGGCACUCGUGAGGCUGCAUAGUGAAGAGACCACCAACACUGCCCACCCCUGCCCACAUUCCUGGCCCAAGAGGAAACUGUAUACGGCCUCUGGGUUCCCGUGGAGGAGGGCCCAAGAGCAGCAGGACCGCUGCAUCUGAGACACCGCCAGAACCUGAAGGGAUCUACUGGAUAAACAGUUCUCUGCACCCAAAUCCCGUGGGAGGGAAAGCUAAACCUUCAGAGAGGCAGACACACCUGGUAAACCAGAAGAGACUGCAUUCUGCACACAUCUCGGACUCCAGAGGAAAACACCAAACGCCAUCUGGAACCCUGGUGCACUGAAGCUCCUGGAAAUGGCGGCGCAGAUCUUCCUGGUUGCUGCCGCCACAGAGAGCCCGUGGGCAGCACCCCGCGAGCGAAUUUGAGCCUCGGGACCACAGGUAAGACCAAAUUUUCUGCUGCAAGUGACCUGCCUGGUGAACUCAAGACACAGGCCCACAGAAACAGCUGAAGACCUGUUGAGAGGAAAAACUAAAUGCCCAAAAGCAGAACACUGUGUCCCCAUAACUGGCUGAAAGAAAACAGGAAAA